rnacentral:lncRNA from 1 species
AUAAAGUUCAGGCUGUCUGGCUCACAUCACAAGGGAUUUACCUUUGAGCCUUCUCUCUGGCCCUCAACUCUUAGAUCCAUUUGAACUAGAGGGAAAUCCAGACUUCCCAAGGACAUCUCUGCUAACCUUAAUUGAAGACAAAGUCUUAUGGCUGAAAGACAAGAAAAACUUCUCAUUUGCUGUCGGCCAGUUCUGGCUUUGGUUCCUGUGACAAAUCUACAAAAUGUCUUCUCUUCUUCUGUUGGCAGCUGAACUGGAUUGUGAUUGAUGCCUAGAUCACUGGAAUUGGUUAUCUGAGGCCAUGACGUCAUUAGGGCCAAAGAUGCAAUUAGUGGAACACAAGUGGUAAUGCAGCCAGGUGGACAAGG